GUGACCCCCCAUGACGGGGGGCUUCCCUAGGAGGCACCCUGGGAUACACCCUGGCUGCAUCCUGGGGGUUUCCAGCUUUCCCUGGUGACCCUGGCUGUACCCUGGGGGUUCCCGGCAUGUCCCCGGUGCCCGCCUGGCCCUGGCAGGGACGUGUCACCCUGCCCCGGGCACAGGGAACAGCACCUGGGGACAGCCACCAGAGCCUCUGGGCAGGCAGAGGUUGGGGAGCAGCUCAAAGAGCACAGCACACCGGCAGUAGGUAGCAAGUCAGUGUUGUUUAUUUUGUUGAAAGCCAAAUAUAAAGAGGAAAGGAAUGAAAUCAUUUCCAGCCUCCAGCUGUCCAGGAAAAUACCUGUUUAUAAAUAAAAAUGGGAGAAAGGGGAGAUGUCCCCAUCCUGCAACCUCAGCUGCCAGUGUCAGGGGCCCUGGGGCUCAGGGCUCCUCACCCUCCCUUCCUGGGCCAGCACUUUUCCAUCCAAUGUGGAAUUUUGCCCAGCCCAGGCACUUCCAAGCAGGAGGAGGGAAAUAAAUGCAGCACUCUGUCCCUGCCAAGAGUCCCCAUGUCCCCCGUGGGGGAAGAGCCAGGCAGGGCCCUCAGAGCUGGGAUAUCCCUGGAGCUGCCCAGAAGGGGCCAGGACAGCACCUGGAGCCAGCUGGGGUGCAGGUGGAGCUGGCCUGGAAGGGACCAGAGAUCCCAAGGACCCUUCUCCAGCCCUUUUCUUCUCAUCCUCCUGCCCCCACAGCUCUCCCUGGCCCAGGCAGGGCUGGCUGGGCUGGGCACUCCCGAGGCUUGGUUUUCCUGCAAAGAUUGGAGACAAACUGCCAUGGUUUGUCAGAGGCCUCAGUGCCUGCCCUCGGCUGUGCCAGGCUGCUCUCAGCGUCCCUGUGUGCCAGAUGGCUCCAAAGGGAUUGAAGAGCUUCCCCAGAGGAUCCAGGAGCUGUCCCUUGGCUGCUGGAGGGCACCAGCAGCUCCUCAGCCUGGUCUGGAGCAGCAGCACAGCCAGAGCUCGGCCUCCAAGGGUGGAGAAACCUCCCGGGGAUGCUGCUGCUCCCAGGAGAGUGCCUGGGAAUGGCACUGCCCGGGAAUGCCAUUAUCGUGGAAUGCCACUGCCUGGGAAUGGCACUGCCCCGGGAGGGCAUUGCCUGGGAAUGGCACUGCCCCCUGGGAAUGCCAUUACCUGGGAAUUCCACUGUCCUGGAUUGGCACUGCUCAGGAAUGCCAUUACCUGGGAUUGGCACUGCCUGGGCACACCCCUGAGUGCCAGCACCCAGUGGCAAAGCCUGGACCCAGCCCUGGCUUUCCCUCACCACCCAGACAGGGAGCACUCCUGGCUUCUGCCCCUUCCCAGCCUCCUCUUGCCCCACUCUGGAUUUUUCCCUUCACCCCCUGGAUUGUCACAUGCCAGCACCGGGGCUGCUCUGUCCCCAGCACAGGUGGCUGUGACAGGGAAGGGAAGGGAAGGGAAGGGAAGGGAAGGGAAGGGAAGGGAAGGGAANNNNNNNNNNNNNNNNNNNNNNNNNNNNNNNNNNNNNNNNNNN
rnacentral:lncRNA from 1 species